rnacentral:lncRNA from 1 species
UAUGUAAUCAUAGUUUGAAAUAUGGAAAUAUCAUUUCGGAAACGAAUCGAAAUUUGAAGAACGACUUGUCUCGGGCUCUUGGCGACAUCACCAAGAUAAGGUUGCAGAGGAAUAUUUUCAAAAACGCCAACUGUCCUUCAAACGAUUCGAAAUAGAAAUAUUUAUUCAUUCACCGAAGAAACGAGUCAAAUUACUCAAAUGUCAAUUGGUUUAAAACUCAUCCCCCAGCGACGUCAAAAUGCAGAAGGAAAGGCCAGUUUGCAUGUCUUUCAUAAUCGAAGGUCACGGAGAUCAUUACGUAAAACGUGCCAUGCAGUGGUGUAGAGGUUGGACCCAUCCCCCAACAACGUCAAAUGCAGAAGGAAAAGCCAAUCGAAGGUCAUGGAGAUCAUUAUGUAAAACGCGUCAUGCAGUGGUGUAGAGGUUGGGUGAGAACGAGACGUGUUACUUCAUCAUCAAUUUGGUACAAUAGCCGCAAGGCUUAAAAGGUGGGUCAGGGUGAGAAAAAGUCGUAUAAAAGGAGAGAGAAAAGGCGACAGAUCAGAUCAGUCGAGUGAGCAUCUCCGACACGGCAACAACUGCAGCGCACUAUUGGUGCCUUCAUCAUCGUAUUACAUCAUUUCGCAAUCAUGGUUAACUAUGGCGUUAUGCAGCUGUCGGGUGUUGUAUCGUUGAUGGCUGCGUCGACCACAGGUGUACUGAUGUCUCCUGGGUAUGGUGGAUACCAAGCAACAGCAGCGGAAGAUUACUACACCACGUUGCCGCCUUACUACACAACGUCAAUAUACGCAAAACCUACUUACUACACCGAGGCCCCCAAGUAGUACACAACUAAAACUUCAGAGUAAUACACGAAAACUUACUCUGCCCCGAGCUACUACACCGAAGCCACCAAGUAUUACUCUGCCCCGAGAAACAUCACCAAAGCGCUUGAGUAGCUACUGUACCGAGGCUCAAGUUUAUUACACCACCAAAGCUGUCGAAUACUACACCGAAGCGCCCAAGUACUACAAUGCAACCUACACUGCCCCAGCUCAGCACACCGAGGCACUGGAGUACUGCUACACCACCGAGGCACUGUAGUACUACACAACUACUUUCGCUACUCUGACCUACUACACCGAAGCACUACUCUGCCCCGGGUUACUACACCAUUAAGGCAUCUGAAUAUUGUACCCCAACCUACGCUUCCGCAACCUACUACAAGAAGGCUCCUAAAUACUAGAGUUGAAAUUUCUAUUUGUUAAUCAUUUAAAUUCGUCGGUUAUCUUCUCGGUUACUAGUCACUGUGAAUUGAUUGUUGACCUUCAACGAGAAAAUAGAAAAGACUAAAGGAUAAGACUUUUAUUAAUACCUACCUUGUCGACAUUGCGACAGGCGUUUUUAUUUGUGUUGACUUCUUCAAGCCCAGUAUGCUGCGUUGUGAUUUGUUUGUUUCAUGUUUUAGUAUGACUACUUAGUUGCUUUGUAUACGGACAUUCUUCUGCUUCGACGAUUUUUUUUUAAUAGAGUAAUUUGCGAAAGAAACGUAUUGCGCAGAGUAUACUCUAAAUUUUGAUCUUGAA